UGGGGAAUUUUGGACAAUGGGCGAAAGCCUGAUCCAGCAAUGCCGCGUGUGUGAAGAAGGCCUUCGGGUUGUAAAGCACUUUUGUCCGGAAAGAAAUCCUUGGCUCUAAUACAGUCGGGGGAUGACGGUACCGGAAGAAUAAGCACCGGCUAACUACGUGCCAGCAGCCGCGGUAAUACGUAGGGUGCAAGCGUUAAUCGGAAUUACUGGGCGUAAAGCGUGCGCAGGCGGUUUGCUAAGACCGAUGUGAAAUCCCCGGGCUCAACCUGGGAACUGCAUUGGUGACUGGGCAGGCUAGAGUAUGGCAGGAGGGGGGUAGAAUUCCACGUGUAGCAGUGAAAUGCGUAGAGAUGUGGAGGAAUACCGAUGGCGAAGGCAGCCCCCUGGGCCAAUACUGACGCUCAUGCACGAAAGCGUGGGGAGCAAACAGGAUUAGAUACCCUGGUAGUCCACGCCCUAAACGAUGUCAACUAGUUGUUGGGGAUUCAUUUCCUUAGUAACGUAGCUAACGCGUGAAGUUGACCGCCUGGGGAGUACGGUCGCAAGAUUAAAACUC
rnacentral:rRNA from 1 species